CGAAAGCCUGACGGAGCAAGACCGCGUGGGGGAGGAAGGCUCUUGGGUCGUAAACCCCUUUUGUCAGGGAAGAAGCAAGUGACGGUACCUGACGAAUCAGCCUCGGCUAACUCCGUGCCAGCAGCCGCGGUAAUACGGAGGAGGCAAGCGUUAUCCGGAAUUAUUGGGCGUAAAGCGUCCGCAGGUGGCAGUGUAAGUCUGCUGUCAGAGACCGCGGCUCAACUGCGGGAAGGCAGUGGAAACUGCAAUGCUAGAGUACGGUAGGGGUAGAGGGAAUUCCCGGUGUAGCGGUGAAAUGCGUAGAGAUCGGGAAGAACACCGGUGGCGAAAGCGCUCUACUGGGCCGUAACUGACACUCACAGGACGAAAGCUAGGGGAGCG
rnacentral:rRNA from 1 species